GGAGAGAUGGCUGAGUGGUUG
rnacentral:tRNA from 1 species